CAUAAACGAUGACGACCAGGGAUCAACGGAUGUUGCUUAUAAGACGCCACCAACACCUUAUGAGAAAUCAAAGUCUUUGGUU
rnacentral:rRNA from 2 species